rnacentral:rRNA from 1 species
GAUAAACGCUGGCGGCGCACAUAAGACAUGCAAGUCGAACGGACUUAACUCAUUCUUUUAGAUUGAGAGCGGUUAGUGGCGGACUGGUGAGUAACACGUAAGCAACCUGCCUAUCAGAGGGGAAUAACAACGAGAAAUCGUUGCUAAUACCGCAUAAGCUAGUAGCAUCGCAUGAUGUAGCUAGAAAAGGAGCAAUCCGCUGAUAGAUGGGCUUGCGUCUGAUUAGCUAGUUGGUGGGGUAACGGCCUACCAAGGCGACGAUCAGUAGCCGGUCUGAGAGGAUGAACGGCCACAUUGGAACUGAGACACGGCCCAGACUCCUACGGGAGGCAGCAGUGGGGAAUAUUGCACAAUGGGGGAAACCCUGAUGCAGCGACGCCGCGUGGAGGAAGAAGGUCUUCGGAUUGUAAACUCCUGUUGUUGAGGAAGAUAAUGACGGUACUCAACAAGGAAGUGACGGCUAACUACGUGCCAGCAGCCG